CCCGUUCUGGCCACUGUGGCAUCCAACAGCCUUGAGCAGACAGGAAGAGUCAGCUUCGGAAGACUCACAUCGGCAGUGAGGCACAGGCUGUGACCGUCAAGUAGGAGUCACAGGUCCAAAGACCAUGGGACGGAGGAGUCUCCUUCUUAAGAACGUUUUCCCAUUCAUCCGUCUCCUGGGCCUUGGGUCUGUAAAUCAGGGGUGACGAGCUGAAAUGGAAGUAGCAGACAAAGGUCUCAAGGGAGGAGCCCCCGUCUCUGCGGACUACCAUCUGGAUGCCAGAGAAGGAGAUUCUGUUGACAGCACUGAGGGGGACCUGCUCCAGGUAGGGCUCCAAGGACAGAUGGUGUCGGGACAGCUGGGGCAGCUGCAGCUGGAUGUGGGCGUCCUGCCCACGUCCCACCAGCAGCCGACUGGUAUCAUGCUGCAGCCGCAGUGGGACUUUGGCAAAGGAACAGAAAAGCAGUCACGAGAGGCUUGCUUAUGUCUGUCAGGCACGAACAAACACACCCUCGCAGAGCCCUCCUCUGAGCCAGAUGUCAGUCCAGGUGCUGUGGUGAAGCAGAAGGAGACAGGCCUUCACUUUUGGGGGUACCCCUCUUGAGGGGGAAAAUUUGGUGCUUUCAGAUGUGGAGGUACAGAGCAACAUAAAAGGGGCCUGAACACAGCAGACACCUUCUCAAUGCUUCCCAUGGGCCAGGCACCAUGUCUCCUGAACAUCUGGCAGAAGGCAGAUCCUGGUGGAGACAGUGGGCAGAGGGAAAAGCUAGCUCACUGGAGAACCAUCAGGGGCUCCAGGAACUGCACAUAAGGUCCCACAGCUCUUCUUCCAGGAACUCGUCCUUCGGUACCUGAUGGACACACAUGAGAAGGCCCAUCCCAUGGUGUGCUUUGUUCCUGCCUGGCUUUGGAGAGCAGACUCUGCCACAUCUACACACCCCACAUGACCCCGGAUUUGCCGCUGAUUUCAGCAGGAACCAAGGACUGAGAGGGACUCCACGGUAAUUUUAUACUUUCCCUAGCACCUGGCUAGAGAAAUAUUGGCCUGCAAUAUUUUUUUUCUGCUAAGAAUGUUUGUUCCAUCCUAGAUUGUGUGUGAAAACAUUGCUCGUCUCUCAAGGCCCAGUUCAAAUGCUUUCUUCUCUGGGGAAGGCGACCUUGUCUGUGUCCUCUAACAUCAAUCACAAGGGUACUUGGCCAACGCCUCCUCCCCCACAUUUGCGUUUCCACCCCUAGAGUUCUGCGGGCUCUUGUCUUCCUCAAGCUCCUCUCUUGUCUCCCUAAGGUCUCCCAGAGGCAGAGUGUGACCCACCUUGUAGUCCAAAUAGCACUUGGCCACAGCAAAUGUCUAGGGACAUCUGCCAGGAAACAGGAUACAGAGACAUAAACUGAAUGUAGACAUAAUAAUCUAAGGAAGCAUGGUCUAAUUUCCUAUAUAACCAGUAAUAGAAGAAGAAUGUCUCCAUGACAAGCUAAUAGAUGGAGAAUGGAAUACAAAGUUACAAUGAAGGCUUGCAUGUGCUUGGAAAGGCCGGCAGAAUAAGAGGACAUCUACGCAGGAGGGACCAGGACAGCUUGAUCCUGGCUUGCAGUUGGGUAGGGAGAAUGGGAGAGCGGCUGGCAUGCAUCGCUCUCCCUGAGCAGAGACUCACUCAUUCCAAGAAGACAUGCUUUGGACUCUUCAGUACAGCGCCUCGCAGGCUUGCUCAAGGGAGCUCUGGGGAGCUCCACGGCUACUCCUGAGUCUUUCCUGCCUGUCCCUAGAGUCGGUGCUGAAAUAACUGACUCCACGGCUCAGAGUUGACUUCCAGGACCACACAGUGAAUCGGCAGCACAGCCAGGUGAGGACCCAGGGGGAGUGAUCCCCAGGCUCUAAGACCAGGCCAUAGUGCAAUCCCUUGCUUGCUGAGCCAUAGAAUCCCUCUAGGUCAUGCUCUGGGAACAAUCUUUGGGGUCCAGAAAGAGUGGGGCUCCUGCUCUGUCAUCAGUGAAUCAGGAUAGGUGGGAAGGAACCAGGCUGUCUCUCAGAUGGCCGGAAACAGGGUGUUUUGGCAGGUGUUAAGCUCAGUGAAUGUGGCUUUAGUACCUUUAACUGCCCUUUCCUCAGCCCUCCCCCAAUUUCCUGUGCCCUAGGUCCUCCUGGCAUUGAAAAGAAGGGAGUAAAACACUCAUGUCACUGCGAAAACUCUCUCCUGACAAUUCUUGGCGACUGUCUGGCUGUCUCUUCAGGGAACUUAGGGUGGCAAUAGUAUCCCAAGUGUGUCUCUGAGGAUGUGGCAGGCAUGCUAAUUGCCUGGGGAGGGUGAGAAGCCAUGUGUAGGUUGGAAAGCUAGACUGGACGUCAGGCUUAUUGCCAGGGCUGUGUCCCAUUCAGUGAAAACAGCCACAGUCUCUGGUGGAUGGAUAGAUGACCAGAAGCUCAAUAGCCAUGGGAAGGUGCCUCAAAGGCUGCACACGCACAGCAAGGUGAGUCUGCUGGGUCACAGGCUCACAUGCUGCAGUUUUUGCCUACAUAGAUCUCAAAAGCUUGAAGACAAGCAAGCCCCUCUUUCUGCAUGAAAGAGCCUCCUCCUCAGAGUUCUCCAUGUCUACUGGCCCUCUAGUUUACAUGAUAUCCCAAUGAUGCUCAGAUGUGCCUCUCCAUCUGCAGACCAGGGCCUGGCAUGGGCCUUCGCCCACUCCUGAGCUUCUUCUCUGGAGAUGGACAUACCCUGCUACAGUCAUGCCUAGAAAAGUGUGGGGGCAUGAGACAGUCCCUGCAGGGUAGAAACUGGGGUUAAGAACACUUCCCAUUAAGAAAGGGAAGUGAAACACUCAGGGCAUUCAUCUGGCAAGAGGAAGUUCCGCCCAGGUUCCAUCUUCUGGACAUAACGGGAACUCUCCGGAUUUCUGGGCCUGGUGUGGAGAGAACGCUUACUGUCAGCUUCUUAGGUGGAAGGUGGGAGCCAAAGUGAGCAGGAAAAGAGAGCCAGGAAAUGGAAGCACAGCCUCCUGGCCUUGCUAGGAAGGUUCCCUUUGAUUGGCCUUGCCUUACCUAUACAAUGCCUCUGGCUGUUGGGCAUCUGGCAUUGGACUCUAAGAAGCGUUGUUUCAGUGAGAUGUGCCCCCAUCACACGCCAGUUGAAGAGCCCAGAAACAAAGCAACCACUUCCUCAGGCCUUCCCCUCAGGCUCCCAUGACCAGGCAUGCUCAUUCAUGUAACAGUGGUGUGACCUCAAGUCGGGUAUCCUGUCUGAACCUCAGUUUUCUGCUCUCUCAGCCAUGGGUAAUUGACUGCAGUUGGGAGGGGCUAAAUGUGUGCAAAGUGCCAGGCCCAGGGAGAUCUGCUGACUCAGCCUUAGCGGAACCUUUGGCUGAAGACCCAGAAUACAUCCUGAGAAGAGGACUAUCAGGACAGACUGACACACGCAAACCUUACAUUCUCAAAAAGCCCCAAUUUGUGAUUAAAACAAGAUAGGAGUUAAAUACCCACCACGUGGGAGCUUCACAUGAGUUCCAUUUUAAUCACAGUGAGGUAAAUGCAGCAUGCCAGAAAGUCUCUGCCUCCUUGCUGGGAAAUGGUCCCUGCUACUCAUCUCAUAGAUGCAGAAGCCGAGGCUGAAGCAGUCAGGUCACUUGCUCAAGGUCAUACACCUGGGUGGCAUCAGACCACACUAGAGCUUGGUCUCUGAGGCUCCUGGACCUUUGCAAGCUGCUCCUUGCACUCAGGUGUUCCCUGGAAUUCAGCUGCUGGCCAGCUAGCCACUCGGCUAAGGAUGCCUGCUUCCAGCUCCCCAGACCACUUGGAUGCCUUUGAUGGGUCUUGUCUUGAGGACCUUUAACCAGUGACCUGCUUUUCAAAGCUGAAAAGGGAGAACAGCUUAGUAGAGCCAUCCCUCUGAUGGCGAAUGUCCUCGUCUGGCUUCUGUUGCUGUGGUGAGAAGGAAAGGGAAUGGAAACAUUUUGUCUUAGCUUACUUUUCCAGGUAUCAGUCCAUCCCUGAGGGAAGUCAGGGAAGGAACUCAAGGCAGGACCUGAAGCGUGGACAAUCGAGGGACACCACUGACUGGUUUGCUCUCCAUGGCUUGCUCAGCUACCUUUCCAAUACAACCUAGGACCACCUGCCCAGGAGUGGCACUGCCCAGUGGGCUGGGCCCUCCCACAUCAAUCAUUAGUAAAGAAAAUGCCCCCACAUGCUGUGGGAUAGUUGGACACUGUGUGAAGAUGUGUUGCUGUGAUUGGUGUAAUAAAAAGCUGAAUGGCCAAUAGCUAGGCAGGAGGUAUAGGUGGCCGAGAGAGAGAACUCUGGGAAGAAGAAAGGAAGAGUCACCAGACAGACACAGAGGGAGAGCAGGACGUGCAGUAUGGGGAUGAGGCAAUGAGCAUGUGACAGAAUGUAGAUGUAAAAAAUAGGGGUUAAUUUAAGUUAUAAGAACUAGUUAGGAAAAAGCCUAAGCUAAGGCCACGCUUUCAUUAUUAAUAGUAAGUCCAUGUUGUUAUUUGUGAGCCGGCGACCUCAAAAGAAAGUCAAACUGCACCCACAGACUUGCCUACAGGCCAAUCUAAUGGGAGGCAAUUCUUCAGUUGGGGGGUUCCCUCUUUCCAGAUGACUCUAGUUCCUGUCAAGUUGACAAAAAAAUAAUCAACACAGGGAGAGAGCCUGGUUUCUUUGACUCCAGGUGUCAAGGGGUUCCCACUCAGACUGAGGUGAGUACAGAGAUUAAGCAGGGCCCAGAGUAGCAGGCCAUGUGGAGCAGUGGUCAGAGAUGCAGGAGGGAACAGGGAACAGGAAUAGGCCGGUAACAAUGGAAUAAGAUGACCUGGGGGAAGAUGUAGCCAGGACUUGGCCCUGACCACCCGCCACCCCCCAUGCCUCGCCCACCGUGGGGCUGAGCAUGGAUGCUCUAGGGUUAAGACAACACUCCCUGCCCCUGCCAGCUCUCAGGGAAGGGUAAGUGCUUGUGACUCACAGUGAUCAAAUACAUGGAAGGGGAUGGGAUGAGAGGAAAGUCUGUUUCGGCACUUCUGUUAAAUUUCAGCCUGUGGUCAUCUGGCUCCAUUGCUUUUAGGUCUGGGGCAAGGCAGAAUCAUCUGGACCAUGAUGGAAGGGUGUGGUAGAAAAGGGAGGUGGGAGAGGGAGGAAGGAAGAGCUAAGGAUAAGAUAUGCUCUUCAAAGGCAUGCCUACUUCCUACCACCUCCUCCAGCUAGGCCCCACUUUCUGAUAGCCCAGUCGGAUUAACCCAUUGAUGAGGUUACACCCUCAUGGUCCAGUCGCCUGUCACUGCUGCCAUCAUCUAGGGAUCAUGAUGACUGAUGAGCCUGUGGGAGACUCUUCAUAUUUAAACGAACAGCCACCAGGAAGGUAUCCUGGAGGAGAUGUGCCUGUGUCUGUGGUAAUGAGGAGUUGAUGCAUUUCUGGGUGUCGGAUGGGCCUGGUAGAAAGACAGUGAGAGGUGGGCUCCUGUUCUGUAACUGACUCUGCUUUGCCCUGUCCUCUGCCCUUACCUAACAAUUAUCAUGGCAUAUUUGAAUUUCACUAAAACACAUGAUUCCUUACUAACUACCAUGUCUCGGCUCAAUCCUCCCAGCAGAGGCAGGUCCCACUGUUUAUUCAUCUUUGUUACAAAUGAGAAACUGAGGCACGGCUAAGGAGGCUUCCUACUCUGGAUUUUCUACAUGUUACACAGCAGAGCUGUCUCUUAAAUCCAGAUCUAAUCUCCAAAUCUUUACCCUCAACUCCAGUACUCUAUGUCAACCCAAGCUACAAGUGCUCGCCGCCGACUGGGUGGGGUUCAGGCAAGUUGGAACAGCUCUGCUGUCCCCUGGCCUAAGUCCUGCUGGGAAGCAGAUGGCUUCCAGGGUGGCCCUUCCUGGUUCCUGAUGCAAUCACUGGGCCUCCUUGCAGAGACGGGCUGGCCUCCACCUGCUAAGGAGCGGAGGUGGGAGGAAGAGGCACUAUUCUGGUUCACGCUUCUCCUAUUCCAGGAUUCAUUAUUAAACACAACUUCCUUGCUCUUCCCCAUUCUUAAUUUACACAAAUUCUACUUAAUGCCAAAUUCAACAGUGCCUGGAACCAUAACCAAUGCCUGGGGGAGGGACCAGAUCAUACAUACCCUUAGAGCAUCAUUAACUCACAUGCUUGACACCCUUUGUCCACAGGAUGCACGGGUUGCCUCUCUGGCUGCCUGAGGAGGGAUUUGGAGGAGGAGGAGGCUUCCCAGUACCCUGGCUCACAUGCCAUCUCCUUUGCCUUUACUCACAGCAUCCUGAUGGACAAGGGGCCAUGGAGCAAGAAGGGAACCUACAUAGGGUUUCAUGGGCUAAGUAAUGGGUAAUGAAUGGAAAAGAAUUUGGCUCAUGGUUCAGGAGGCUUGAAGUCUAGUAGCCUGAUGUUGACAUCUGGUAGGACAUUUAUGCUUUAUCCUUACAUGGGUGGGCAGGUGAGUGUGCCAGACCCAGGAUGAGGGCCUCACUUCAUCCUUUUAUCAAAAAUGACUCCUGAGAUAUCUGACCCAUGCUCCGGUAACCAUUAAUCCAUUCAGGAUGACAGGCCCCUCAUAAUCUUAUUACUCUUUUUUUGCAUAUGCACAUGUGUAUGGUGGGCACAUGUAUGUAUUCGCACAUCCCCCCCGCCCUGCCACUGGCUCAUGUUUUUUUAAACAUUCGUCCUCCAGAUGAUUAGAAGAGAGUAGGUCACUGGGGAUAUCUUGGCCUGACUCUGCUGUUACACUUGCACGCUUCCACCACUGUGAUGUUCCACCGGAGUACACAGGUCAAGCAACCAUGGACUGAUCCUCCAGAAACCACAGCCAACACAUACCCUGAGCCUCCAAGUUGUUCUUUCAGGAAUUGCUGUGUUGUUCUCCUCAGUCCUGAACCAACUCACCUUCUUGUCACCAGACUGCAUCAUGAGACUGGGGUCUCUCCACAUCCUUCCUCACUGAUAACUGAAGACUAGCCCAUGCCGUGACAGCAAACGUCUCCCAACCUUCAACAUGACGCUCUUCACGUGUGCUUUAUGAAUGUGCAUCUUCGCUCUGAACUCAGUGUCAUGGCAAAUAUGUCUUUUCCACAUGGCCACUAACAUAAUAUAAAAAGUGUUUUCCUCCUCCCUGGGCCCCAGGGGAGAGCUAGAUCACUGAAAUGAGGACAUGAUGAGAAAAUGAGAAAUCCUGCCUCCUGAGCCAGCUCUCCAAGUGGUUUUCCAGAAGCUCUGUGGGACCACAGACCUCCUGAGCUGUAAAUCACCAACCCAGCCCGGUGACGUUGUCACCCAGCGGCUCACCCAGUGACAUGGCUGAUUUCUUUUGGUUUCUAUUGACCCCCAGUGCCCCUGCUGUGUCAGUGCUAAUGGCUUACUUCAGAACCAGCGACUGCUGCUGGCCUCUCUCUGCCUUCCUCCGUCCUGCUGUUGGCCACUGGGGCCAGGGCAUAAGCACAAACUCCACUGUGGGUCUCUCUGCAGUACAGACUCAUCUUGGAGAGUGGUUCUAGGCAAGGCCCAGGGCAUCGGGUGGCUCGGCUCAGCACCCUGGAAGCGACCUUCCUGUGGUCAUGCUUGCCCAGACCAUGGAAUGCUUCCAACACCUUUAACUACAGUACCUGGGCUGUCUAUUCUUGUCAGGCCUCUACAUGCUGGAGCUCUGGGGAUAAUGAGUGGGAGCUCUGGAGGGUAGUAGUUGAGCUGUGCAGGGCUAACAGAAGUCCUUUACUCAGAACCCUCCUGGAGAAGUCAGUGUGACAGGGGGCGGGAGCCUCUUCUUGCACCAUAUCCUGGACACUGGCCUUGUGGCCCCAUUUGUCCCUUAAAGGGAACACCUCCCAUUCUAUAGCCAUGCUACUGAGCACCCGAUAUCCACAUUUGUGACUGUGACCUUGGAUUUUAGGUAGCAAGAAGAUUCUGGGGCAGUGCUCCUACUCUGAGUUUUAAGAAGCCAGGUACCUGGGUUCAAAUCUGUAUGCAGAUAUCUUCUAUGUGGACUCGGAGGGGUCCUGUGACUUUCCUAAUGUUUCCCUUUUUCUAGACAGUGUUGUUAUUGUGAAGAUUCAAAGGUUUAAAAAUGGGCAAAGGGCUUCAAGAAAGAUCUCAGACAAGAAAAUAUGAAGUAAAAUACUGCCAUUUGAUUGUAGUUUCUGUUGGAGACGUCUUUGAGAGCAGGGCUGGUCUCUGAUCUUUGCAAAGGGGGUUUGAUAGGACACAGUUGCUGAAGACACGACUCACUCUGUAUUCAGGACAGAGAGAAAUAAGCCUUGACUGCUCAGGAAAGUGGUGGUUAUCUAACAUAGCGCCAGAGGGCUGUGCAGGGUGCUGUGGUAGCCUGUAUGCUACGACGCUGACCUCCGACGAGAUGUGCCCACUGGGGCAGUGGUGGCAACAGAGCUAUGGGUAACCAAACACGUGGCAGUUUGGGUUACGGCCUGCUCCACGGCAGGGAUUUCAUGCCUAAUGCUGUGAGCUUGGUCAAACGUUAACGGCUCAGGAGGUCAUGGGCGCUAGGUGGGAACUUACUCCUACUGUCUUGCCAAAUAAACUUGUCAAAUUUCCUUCUAAAUAUAUCUGUUUAUGCACAUAGAUUACUGCUUCCUUGCAGCUUGGUCAGAGAAGCUUCUCUCUGCAUUGUCCAGGGAAAAUGCAGAGACUCGUGAUGGGCAUCCUGGGACUGUGAACUCUGCUUGUGCCCAGAAGCUUAUCAGGGGACCCAUCAGGCUCUUUUCUGCCCCCUCUUAUUUCAGUCAGAUCUGGUCCUCUGUAUUUGGGGUGUUGGUGUUGCCCGUAUUGGGGGUGAACAGGUCUGGAAGCAGGGGGCCUGAGGAAUCUUGUUAGAGGUGGCAAGAGGGCUGAGAAAAGGAGAGGGAACCAUGAGUCAGGAGUCAUCAGGAGAGGCCAGCAGGAUUGGAGAGCUGGGGUAACAACUGGAAGACCAGGGAUGUUGCAUGAAUCCUAAAUGGUCUUAUUCUAAAAACCUGAAGCCAGAUAAUCAGCAUGAAAGCUGAAAGAUCAGAGAAGCAGAGCAAGCCACAGCCACCACCUCUUACCUCAUCAACUCCUCAGCCUGAAAGAGACAGUUCUGUGGUGGUAUUGUGUUCCCCAAAAUAUUGUGCACCCUAAUAAACUUAUCUGGGGUCAGAGAACAGAACAGCUACUAGAUACAGAGGCUAGAAAAUGAUGGCACUCACACCUUUAAUCCUAGCAUUCCAGAGGCAGAGAUCUACCUGGAUCUCUGUGUGUUCAAGGAUACAGCCAAGCAUGGUAACUCAUGCCUUUAAUCCCAGAAAGUGAGCCUUUAAUCCCAGGGAGUGAUGGCAGGAAGCAGAAAGGUAUAUAAGGCGUGAGGACCAGGAACUAGAAGCAUUUGGCCGGUUAAGCUUUCAGGCUUUCAAGAAGCAGUUCAGCUGAGAUCUAUUUGGAUGAGGACUUAGAGGUUUCCAGUCUGAGGAAACAGGAUCAGCUGAGGAAUUGGCAAGGUGAGGAAGCUGUGGCUUGUUCUGCUUCUCUGAUCUUUCAGCAUUCACCCCAAUAUCUGGUCCCGGGUUUGUUUUUAUUAGUAAGUACCUUUAAGAUUCAUGCUACACAGUUCCUGUCUCCUCCCGCCUUAUAUUACUUUCUCUGCUCAGCCAUACCACUUCCUGUCUCAACCUUUCUAGUGCUGGGAUUAAAGGUGUGUGAUCCCAAGUGCUGGGAUCAAAGGUGUGUGCCACCACUGCCCUACUUCUAUGUUUAAUCUAGUGGCUUGUUCUGUUCUCUGAUCUUCAGGCAAAUUUUAUUUGUUCAAAAUAUCACCACACAGGGACGCUCUGGAGUGGGGCUGGAGAAAAGGAGUUGAGCCUGGAUGGGUAAGAGGAAGCUGGCUCUCAUACUGUGCAAGCACCAGAAGACAGUGGCUGUGUUAUCAUUCUUGUGGGUUAGACUAUCAUGGGCUUGCUUUACAGAUCGGGAAGUCAAAGCUAAGAGAUGGGAAAACAUUUGUCCCGGGUCACACAGGUAGUGAGUGGCAAGGCUGUAAUUGGUGCCAGGUCUGUCUGCCCUCAAUGCCUGCUUGCAGUAGUACUGUAGUAACUGCCAGGGUCUUGGAAUCCUUCCUCAGAUCUCCCAAGAUCAUCUUAAAUCCACAACCUGGAGUGGGGAGUAGAAAAGAAGCCCUUUCCUGCAUAUCCUUGAUACAUCAUAUCUCUUUCCCCAAGGAAAAGAGCAAUAUUUGUUGGUGGUUUCUAGGCAGUGCGUGGGGUGGCUGGGGUGUGGAUUUCCACGGAGCCCCUAACUCAGUGGUUCUCAACUUUCCUAAUGCUGCAAUCGGUUAAUACAGUUCCUUUUGCUGAAGUGACCGCCAACCAUAACAUUGUUUUUGUCGCUGCUUCAUAACUGUAAUUUUGCUACUGUUAUGAAUCAUAAUGUAAAUAACUGAUAUGCUAUUUCAUGGGGUCGCAACCCAUAGGUUGAGAAACUAGUCAUAUGAUGACUAAGGGGCCCCAACUGACAGCUAAGCAAAUCCUUUCCUGCUGGUCCACAAAAUUGCCAGUAGAUGGCGCGCUGACCUCAUCCAUCCCCUGGUUGAUGCUCCUACCGUUCUCUCAGCUCUGACUCACAGAAGCCCCUCAUUGAACAGACUCAUGUGCUGAGUACCAGGGCUAGCUGUGAGCUUCUCUUCAGCAUCCCCAGGCGAGUGCAGAAGAUGGACCGGGCCAUUGCUGCUCAGUGUAAUGUAAGAGUUAGUAGGACAGAAAGAGCCUGGGACCAGGCAUGGGGGACUGGAGAAGCCCUGGGCAGAGUGGCCUUUGCAGUCUGGAAUCAGUCACCACCAGGGGCUCAGUUGGUUCUCAGGAAGCUAAUGAGGGCCCAGUGUGGUGUUCACACUUAUGAUCCCACACUCAGGAGACAGAGCAGGCUGUAUGAGUUCAGGACCAGCCUGGUUUACACACUGAGUUCCAGGCCAGCCAAGACUACAUAGGGAGACCCCGCAUCCAGAAACAAAAACAAAGAAGUUAAUGAGGGCUUCCUGGAGAGCAGACAUCAUUGGUCAUGGCUAGGGUCUGGAGCAGGCAACGGUGGAACCCGGACUGACAGAGAGAGGGAAUAGGUAUCCUUGGCUGCAGUACGGAUAAGCUGGCUGGCACUUUACUGGGUAUUGUGUGUCUGGAUUGCUCUCACAUCAGCUCUUUCAGGAGAUGGUAUUUUCCCUACUGGACAGACAGGAGAUGGGGGUUCCAUCAAGACAGAGUGACAGGCCAAGAGAAGCUUGCUAUUGGCACAGGAGCUGCCGAGCUUAAGGGACACCAGACAGACCCAGUGUUGUGGAAGGAACAUGCUGUGGGCCCUUUGGGGACAUUUGACUCAAAGAAGACUUCUAUGGUGAGUCAGGACAGCUCCUGGCUGCAGGCCCCUUGAUUCCCAAGGCCGCUUGGGUCAGGCCUCCAGACCAGCUCUGAGGCCUGGCUGCUAAGGCUCAUGGCCUUUGGGAUGACAGGGCUUAGAGUGCCCGUGUUAGGGUGGGGUGGAGCAGCACCGAGGCCUGUAGCUUUCUGUCCUCACUCACAGACUGUCUGAUAGCUGCUGUGGAAGGCUCCCAGGUUCAUUUGCCUGGCCCUGGUGUCUGGCUAAAGAACUAUAUGCAGCUUGAGUUUGAAUCUAAAUCACCCUGUAGGGCUGCAACCCACUGUGCCCACUAAGUCCCCCUCCAAGGCAACCCCUCAGAAAACGAGCCCCUGUCUGGGUGUGGUGCCUGUCAUUCCUGCAUUUGGGAACUUGAGACAGGAGGAAUACCACAAGUCCAGGGCCGUCUUGGGCUACAGAUUGAGUUGCAGGCCAGCCUGGGUUACAGAGUGAGACACUGUCUUAAAUGUUUUAAACAAACAAACAAAAAAACACACAAAACAAAACAAAAACAGCUACCCCUCAAAAACUCUUCCAGCCAUGCCUGAUCAUCAUACUACCCCCUUCCCUCCCCCUCCCUCCUUUCCUUCAAAUAGUUCAUUAUUUUGCACAGAGACCUUGCUUUUCUCUGACUUUUUCCCUAUAUAAUCUAGAAAGGGCUCCCAUUAUUUCAGAAUAUAUUUUGGGCCCUAUUCUGUGCUCAAUUACACACCUUCUAUGGUUGAUUUUCAUGAAAUUUAAAUAACAAAGAAGGGCGCUUAUGUCAUUUCUUCCUUAUAAAAAUACGCCUCUAAGUCCGUUUUUGUUGGAAAGUGGCAGCAGUCGGCAGUUCAGCAGCUUGUGUGUGUGGUGUCCAUGUUGCCUCAUUAGAAGUGCAUGAAGAGUGAGGUGUGUCCUGGAGACAAGUGCCACACUUGCACACACUGUUCCCAAGCUGAAAACAGCCCGCCCUGAACGCCAAACUGUCCAUCAGGACUCCGCAGCAUCUGCCUCUCCCUGGAAAUGUUGGCAGGAGGGAGAGGGGCAGGUUUGGGCAGGGUUGUGGUGGGGAGGGAGGCCUGGCAGGGAAGUCGGGGCUCUGCCCUGUGGACCCUGGAUCCCAAGAAGGCAUCUACCUGGCAUAUACCCAUGGAGGUGAGCUAUGAAUGAACUGACCACAAGGCAUUCAGCGUGUGCUGGCCUUGCCCCUUGUGAGCCCUUGAUGGCAGUUAGCAACCUGGAGACUGCUUGCCUCACAGCCCAGGUAAGAGAGAGUCGGUGUUCUCCAGAGCUAGCCCAAAGACCUGGAAGCCAGGGCAGUGCAAUAAAUAAAGAAAUAAAAGCAAGGUGCCUCAUGGGCCCCUGUGAUGGGGCUGUUCUUUAAAGUCUGAGGCGAUGAUAUGUGACAUCCAACUUUAAAUUUUCCCUAGUAGAGACAGGCAUGGUGGUGGACACCUGUAAUUAUAGAACUUGGAAGUUGGAGACAGGAAAAUCAGGUGUCCAAGGUUAUAUCCUUAGCUAUAUAGUGAGUUUGAGCUGAGCCUGGGCUAUGUUAGACCCUCUCCUAAAAAUAAACAAACAAAAUCAAUCUUUGGAUAGUAUUCCCCAUGUAGAGUCCGGCAGAGGGGAUCAGAGUGUGUCUUGAAAGGGGCUAUUGACUUCUGGCAGCAGAAGUUUCUGGACCUGAGAGAGUUACUCCAGACCCCAGCCUUCUGACACCCAGAUUCCAGUGUUCACUGCCUUUCACCCUCCAGGAUAGCUUCUUUGUGGCAAACUGAGGUUGGUGGCUCUAUACCAUGACCCCAGGAAUCUUCUGGGUCUUGUCCCUCAGCAGCUGCUUGUCUAGAAGAGUCAGCUCUAUGCAGGAUCCAUAAGAGCCACUGGCAUCUAGGUCUUCCUAAACAGAGGUAAAGACACCCACAGUCACAGAAGUCCAGAGAUGCUGGUCUGGGGGAAAUACUACUGAGGACAAGAUUGGACCAGUUAGAGAAAUCCAACUAUGGACUGGACACUCAUUAGCCUCAAAUGUCCCCAUUUUGAUCAUUGUACUUGGGUUAUGCUAGAGAUUGUCCUCUCAGGGAUAUACACUGGAGUAUUUAGGGCUGAGGAUCGGGCAAUGUGCAAUUUACUCUCCAACGGUUUCACUUUCUUAAAGCCGAUAACUGUCUAGCAAACAAUGGCAAAACGGCAGUGCCAAUGUGGGGAAAUGUUGAUUACAUUACAUUUUACAUUACAUCUGCACUUGAGUGUUCGUGGAUGCUUUUGAAACUUUCUUCUCUGAGUUUGAAAGUGUAUCAAAAUUAGAAGUUGCAUAAAGGAGAAAACAAAAAACCAUAAAAACAAAAACAUAAGCAGUCUGAAUGUGUUAAAUGAAUAUAAGUGAAACCGUUGGGAAGAAGACACCGGGCAUUUUGUUACAAGUUGGUAAGGGGAACGGAUUCUGAUUUAUCAUGUCUACUCUGGAUUGUAGUUACUUACAAUGAAGGGUGAUUCUCCCUUUGCCCUGCUUUUGGCACCAGGGUCUGUCGGUGACACUGAUGGGUACUAGGCCCAAUGCACACACCCCAGCUCCUUCCACUGAUGGGUACUAGGCCCAAUGCACACACCCCAGCUCCUUCCACUGAUGGGUACUAGGCCCAGUGUACACACCCCAGCUCCUUCCACUGAUGGGUACUAGGCCCAGUGCACACACCCCAGCUCCUUCCACUGAUGGGUACUAGGCCCAAUGCACACACCCCAGCUCCUUCCACUGAUGGGUACUAGGCCCAGUGCACACACCCCAGCUCCUUCCAAAGGCAUCAGACCUGAAUCUUGGAUAUCUUUGCACAGGUUUCAAUCUCCAUGCUUCAUCCUCUGCAGAUGCUCUGGGCUGACCAGAGGGUGACUAUCUUUUGAGUCAGACCUCAGAAGCCGAUAGACAUAUGGUAUAAGUGGGUUUAAAGGUGACAAUUACCCCAAGUUGGCAGGGCUCAGGAGGAAGACCUACCUAUGUCUCUUGGCAAUGUGUUCCUGGCAUUUUUCUUUGGCUUCCUUUAUUCUUUUGGACACAAAGUUUGACAUAGUCUGCAGCUUCCUCCUUGUUUUUCUUAGUGUACUGUUUCUUCAGAGCACUACGUCAGUGUUGGUGUUGCAAGGACACAUGGACUAACAAGCGCCUGAAUCUUGGGAGCUUUGGUCCUGGGCUUCUUACCCUCUCUGUUAUGGGCUUUCUGACAGCAUAUUGGUGAGCACCAUCUUCUUUAGAGAGAUUGAAAUGAUCUCAGACUCUGCUAGCUCUUUUUGGGCCCCAACCGCCAAAGCAUAGUAGUAUCUGUCAGUCCAGGAGCAUCCCUCUGUCCUGUUUAUUUGUUUGUUUGUUUAUUACAAUAACCAAGUUGCAAACAUUUAGAUUGGUACUCCCAAACAGACUUGCACUUGCUUCUCCAGUUCUUCUCGGUCUACAACAGAAACUCCCCUUACUCAACAGCAGGUGCACUCUACUGGGAAAACCUUGUUAUGUGGUUCGGAUGACAAAACUCUUCCACUCUUCACCCAGAAUAUCAGCAGCAACUUCUGUGGCCAUGUGCUGCUUGCAGAAAGGACAAAGCUUGUAGGCAUCACACACUUCAGUGACUUUCUGACAACUGGUGGGUGGGAAGGAGAUAUUUAGCUUAAUCUUGAUACAGCCAACUGCCUAUGAGGCACCAUGAAAAAGCCAUUAUUUUUG